AGAUUACAUCUCAAAAAUUCCUUUUAGAGCAGUGGUUGUCAACCUUUCUAAUGCUGUGACCCUUUAAUACAGCUUUUCAUGUGAUGGUGGCCCCCAACCAUAAAACUAUUUGGUUGCUACUUCAUAACUGUAAUUUUGCUACUGCUAUGAAU